AGCCUCUACAAGCAUAUGCAAAAGUUGCUGCGUUUAAAAAGCUCAUAGUUGGAUCUGUUGACUGAGUUGCAUAGACUGUUAGCUCUCUUCGGAGGCUUUCAGGUGACUUGGUCUCCUACCCGUUGCGAGUUUUUGCACUUAACUGUGUCGAAUUCUCAAGACGGAGCAUUUACUUUGAAUAAAUUAGAGUGUUCAAAGCAUCCUUUGGGAAUGAAUAAUAAAGCAUGGAAUAAUGGAGGAAGACCCGCUCUUCAGUGUUUGGUUAGCGAAGAUGCGGUAAUGAUUAAAAGGAACAGUCGGGGGCAUUCAUAUUGCUACGUUAGAGGUGAAAUUCUUGGAUCGUGGCAAGAUGAACUACUGCGAAAGCAUUUGCCAAGAAUGUUUUCA
rnacentral:rRNA from 1 species